GCGCCUGUCGUAUAAUGGUAUUACCCCAGCCUUCCAAGCUGGAGAUGUGGGUUCGAUUCCCAUCGGGCGCU
rnacentral:tRNA from 1 species